rnacentral:rRNA from 1 species
GACGAGCCUCACAAACGUUAUUCGGAAUCACUGGGCUUAAAGGGUGCGUAGGCGGUCUGUCACGUCGGCUGUGAAAACCCGGGGCUCAACCCCGGGCCUGCAGUCGAUACGGGCAGACUAGAGUGCGGUAGGGGAGACUGGAAUUCCUGGUGUAGCGGUGAAAUGCGCAGAUAUCAGGAGGAACACCAAUGGCGAAGGCAGCUCGCUGGGACGGUACUGACGCUGAGGCGCGAAAGCGUGGGGAGCAAACAGG